UACGUAGGGUGCAAGCGUUAUCCGGAAUUAUUGGGCGUAAAGAGCUCGUAGGCGGUUUGUCGCGUCUGCUGUGAAAACUGGGGCUCAACCCCCAGCCUGCAGUGGGUACGGGCAGACUAGAGUGCGGUAGGGGAGAUUGGAAUUCCUGGUGUAGCGGUGGAAUGCGCAGAUACUCGAGGAAGGACACCGAUGGCGAAGGCAGAUCUCUGGGCCGUAACUGACGCUGAGGAGCGAAAGUAUGGGGAGCGAACAGG
rnacentral:rRNA from 1 species